UGGAUACUAUGAUGAAAUCCUAGUUCAGCAGAUGAAUAGUUCAGCUCUGAUGAACAAUCUGAAGUCUUUCACUCCCAUCUGAUGUAUCUG
rnacentral:snoRNA from 1 species